CACCAGCGGUGGAGCAUGUGGUUUAUUCGAAGCAACGCGCAGAACCUUACCAGCUCUUGACAUUUGGUGCUACCACGGGAGACCGUGGGUUCCCUUCGGGGACGCCAGGACAGGUGCUGCAUGGCUGUCGUCAGCUCGUGUCGUGAGAUGUUGGGUUAAGUCCCGCAACGAGCGCAACCCUCGCCCUUAGUUGCCAGCAUUGAGUUGGGCACUCUAGGGGGACUGCCGGUGAUAAGCCGAGAGGAAGGUGGGGAUGACGUCAAGUCCUCAUGGCCCUUACGGGCUGGGCUACACACGUGCUACAAUGGCGGUGACAGUGGGCAGCGAAGGGGUGACCCGGAGCUAAUCUCCAAAAGCCGUCUCAGUUCGGAUUGUUCUCUGCAACUCGAGAGCAUGAAGUUGGAAUCGCUAGUAAUCGCGUAACAGCAUGACGCGGUGAAUACGUUCCCUAAACCUUGUACCCACCCGCUCGUA
rnacentral:rRNA from 1 species